UACGUAGGGUGCGAGCGUUGUCCGGAAUUACUGGGCGUAAAGAGCUCGUAGGUGGUUUGUCGCGUUGUUCGUGAAAACCGGGGGCUUAACCCUCGGCGUGCGGGCGAUACGGGCAGACUGGAGUACUGCAGGGGAGACUGGAAUUCCAGGUGUAGCGGUGAAAUGCGUAGAUAUCUGGAGGAACACCGGUGGCGAAGGCGGCAUCCUGGACCGACACUGACGCUGAGGCGCGAAAGCUAGGGUAGGCAAACGGG
rnacentral:rRNA from 1 species